rnacentral:rRNA from 1 species
GAGUUUGAUCAUGGCUCAGAGCGAACGCUGGCGGCAGGCCUAACACAUGCAAGUCGAGCGCCCGUAGCAAUACGGGAGCGGCAGACGGGAGAGUAACACGUGGGAACGCGCCCUUCGGUUCGGAAUAACUCAGGGAAACUUGAGCUAAUACCGGAUACGCCCUUACGGGGAAAGAUUUAUUGCCGAAGGAACGGCCCGCGUCCGAUUAGCUUGUUGGUGAGGUAAUGGCUCACCAAGGCGACGAUCGGUAGCUGGUCUGAGAGGAUGACCAGCCUCACUGGGACUGAGACACGGCCCAGACUCCUACGGGAGGCAGCAGUGGGGAAUAUUGGACAAUGGGCGCAAGCCUGAUCCAGCCAUGCCGCGUGGAUGAUGAAGGCCCUAGGGUUGUAAAGUCCUUUUAACGGGAGAUAAUGACGUACCCGUAGAAUAAGCCCGGCUAACUUCGUGCCAGCAGCCGCGGU